AAUCAUGAGAGUGUAAAAUGUAUAUUAUAUUUUAGAAUGUACAAAUUGUAUUACUUAACUUACCGAUCAUCCCUAAAGCAAGUAGUAAAGAACUUGAUGGUUGAUACCCGAGGUUCCAAAUUCGAAUUCUAAUUGAUUCACAUUUCUAGCUAAGUUUAUUUCUAAAUAAAAUAAACGAAGCAUUCUGCCUGUGGUUUAGCUUAUUUUUUACUUUAUCUUCCUGUGUUUCAAAAGGUUUUAUUUUACCACUUUUACGGUUUAAUUUUUAUUUUACUUCAAAUAUUUUAUAUGAAAUAACCAAAUAGGAUACCGAUAAAGCAAACUUUUUUUUUAAAAAAAAAAUCACAGAAUGACAAAAUAAAAAAUACGCUAAGGGUGUGUUUGGUUCCACGUAAAACUGUGGAAAAAAAAAUUUUCGGUGGAAAAAAAGUUUUAUGUUGUUUGUGUUUGGUUUGUAGGAAAAGAAAAAUAGUUUUUCGUGACGGUUGUUUGGUUGAAAGAAAAAAAAAAACUAUUUAAUAUAUAUUUUAUUAUAUAUAUUAUUAAUAUAUAAUAAUUAUUGUUAUGUUAUAUAUGAAAAAU
rnacentral:lncRNA from 1 species